GACGAACGCUGGCGGCGUGCCUAAUACAUGCAAGUUGAGCGCUGAAGGUUGGUACUUGUACCAACUGGAUGAGCAGCGAACGGGUGAGUAACGCGUGGGGAAUCUGCCUUUGGGCGGGGGACAACAUUUGGAAACGAAUGCUAAUACCGCAUAAAAACUUUAAACACAAGUUUUAAGUUUGAAAGAUGCAAUUGCAUCACUCAAAGAUGAUCCCGCGUUGUAUUAGCUAGUUGGUGAGGUAAAGGCUCACCAAGGCGAUGAUACAUAGCCGACCUGAGAGGGUGAUCGGCCACAUUGGGACUGAGACACGGCCCAAACUCCUACGGGAGGCAGCAGUAGGGAAUCUUCGGCAAUGGACGAAAGUCUGACCGAGCAACGCCGCGUGAGUGAAGAAGGUUUUCGGAUCGUAAAACUCUGUUGGUAGAGAAGAACGUUAGUGAGAGUGGAAAGCUCAUCAAGUGACGGUAACUACCCAGAAAGGGACGGCUAACUACGUG
rnacentral:rRNA from 1 species